CGUAGGUUCAAGCCCCACUGGGACCAAAAUUUUUUCCCCAUAUUUUCCUUUUUUUCUAGUAAGUUUUUACUUCUUUCAAGACUUAUUAUGAAUGCAUUGUAUAAAAGUGGAAAAUUUUCAUUAUAUAAGCGAUUUCGUGCUGUUCAAAGUGAAUUUACAUCUGAAUCAGGAGGAGUAGAGUUAGACAUCUUUAAAAAUACUGAGUUACAUGAGGUACAAGUUCUCUAUUUUUACUUCAUUCUUUAGAUUACAUACUGUGGAAGAAAUGCAGGUAGGUUUUACUUCUGCCUCAAGGUUAUUUUUGAAUGUAGUGAGCAAAAUUCAAAACAGACCUACAGGAUUCGACCUUAAUUUUCAAUGUUGGAGUUAGAAUUCUGUCUCAUUAAAUCUGUUUAUUUGAGGCACACUUGAAAAAAAAAUAUAUUUACAGUUUUAUUUUGUGUUUUACAAUUGUUUAACAAUAGAUUGAAGUUUAUUUUAUCAAAAUUAAUGCUGUAAUGAAUUUUCUGCAAACGUUUUAGAUAGUGGCCAUCACAUUGAAAUUUGUCUCUACUUUAGUUUGAGGAAAUACCAUAAAUUAUACAAAAUUUACAAAAAACGGCACGGUAAAAGUUGUUUAAAAUUUGCAACACAGUGCAAAACAUGGUCAGCCUUAAGAAUAUACCAAGCAAAAGCCAUUUUUAAACAUUACUAUUAGGGGUCCAAUACCUCAAUAUUAUCUAAAACACGUAUCUUGAAAUUAAAUCAAGAAUAGGGACAAACAUACUAGAAUAUUCUCGGUUUUCCCCUUGUAUGAACGGUGUUAGACAAGGCAAGGUAAACAUUUUUCUCCUCUAUGUGAAAACAGCGCUGACCUUAAGAAAAGUUUAAAUGUAUUUGAGGAUUGAAGGGACUGACCUUCAGAUUUUUGCUAAAAAUGAUCUUUCUUUGAAUUGAAGUUUGGUCAUAUCAUGAGCAUUAGAAUAUGAGUUUUUGUUUCUAAUCUAUCUUAAAAAUGCCAAAUCAAGAAAAAAAAACGAUGCCCACGUCGGGAAACGAACACGGGCUGCCGUGGCAAUACAAACUUCUCCGCUGUCUUUACCAAUACCGCCACGGAGGAUUAUGUAAUUGACACAUUAGAUAUCGAAAUUUAUAAUUGAGUCAGUUUACCUCGACUAAAGCGUUACAAACGUUUUUCGAUUUUCAUUGCAACGAUUAGUAAAAACAACUAAUUCUCAUGUGUUUCCAUAACAUAUAGUCUAUCAGUAAUUAAGUUUCAAAGCUUUCAUAAGAAAUAUAGCAUUAGUUUCCUAAUACAUAUUUUUUUUCUUGUUUUGUUGUCCUACUAUAUUGAGGUCAGUGCCUUAAUGUCAGCAGUAGAAACUAGAAGUCAAUACACAAAAAGAACUAAAGAUCUUGUCUCUGGCUCAAGGAGUAAAACAUAUAGAAAUCUUUUCAAAUUUAAAGAUAAUAAAAGAAUAUAAAUAUCUCGGUAUCUAUUUAUCAAAAAGUAUAAGUAUCAUUAGAACUAAACAUUACAUUGCAGAACAGGUAAAUAUGGCCAUGUUCUCAAGAAGACAAUACGCCUUAAUUUAACAUUGAUCUGCAUGUCGAUCUGCAUAAUAAAGAUAUUAAACAUAUUUAGUUAUACGGGUGUGAGAUAUGAGGCUUUUCGAAUAAUAAAGACAUUGAAACGGUACAGCCAAAAAAUAAAAUGGCCAUCUGAAAAAGUCAACAACAUGACUAAUGGUAGAUGUAGAACUAGAUGUCACACCCUUACAACUAGACAUUAAUAUUAGAAUGAUAAGUACCUGAGUAAACCAACUUAUAGCACAAGAAAUAGGUUAUCUUAUACAGGAACACGAAAAAUUAAAUUUAGAAUGGUUAAUCUAUAUAUUCUAUAAGUAUUUAGUAACGUAAAAUAGGUUUGGAACUAUAUGGAAUAAACAUACUGAAAGGAAUAGGAAAUGGUUUCUAGUGAUUUUAAAGCAAAAGAUUAAUGAUCAAUAUAGAUCUAUACAAAAAAUGAAAAAUAUAUCAGAAUCAACAAGCAGCUAUAAUCAUAAACUAUUUAAGGACAAUUUUAGAAAGAAGAACUAUUUUCAUUUAUUACCAAACUGUAUGUAUAGAGAAUAUUGUGAUUUAAAUUAAGUGAGUCAAAGAAGUUAUAAAAAUCGAGGCUCUGUCGAGGCUUUUUAUGUUUUCAUAGACGAACUUAAUAAAUUUAGAUUUAUAAGACAGUAUCCUAAUGUUCUAUUUAUCCUACCUUCUGAUCUAAAAUCAUUCUUUAAUGAAAGUUCAAAAUUUACAACUAGAUCUGAGUCUGCCUUGCAUAGAAAUUUAAAAAUUAAUACGCCCACCAAAUUACACAAAUAUGUCUAUAAAAUCCCAAAUAUUAUAACAUAAAAGCUGAAAAAAAAAGACUAACCUUGUUUUGUUUUGUACCCGACCUCUCUGUUCUGCUGAACAUGAAUGAAUAAUUUUAAUUUGCUACCAACUGAGGUUGCGCCCGAGGUUCAGUUGCAAGUCGGAUGUACCCAUUUUCAUCACGCAAACGUUAGACGUGACAUAUACACACGCCAUAACGCCGCUUGACAGAAAAAAUAGGCAAACCGUUUCCUCAAUGGUUUUAUUCAAUAACAGUCCAUUCCAAAUGCAAUAUAUUCCUUGAUUUAAGUGCCUGAACCCAAACGCUGUACACGAGUCAUUUUUCCGUUUUCUCCGAGUGUUUCCGUUAUAAAAGCUUUUUGUGGUAAUUGCAAAUAAGGUAUGCAUACGCUAUACAUUUGUGACAUGGUCUCACGUACCUAAUAAAAGCGCGUUUAUAAAAUAAUUGCAUACAUAUGUCUUUUGGCAGUUAUUUUUAAAAGCAAGAUGGAGUCGUUUUAAAAAAGAAAUCCAAAAAGUAGUCCGCCAAGCUUUAUCAAAUCACUGACCAGAUAAAGCCAAAUUUAUCAUACCCCUUGGUUUUUGCCUUUAUUUUGCAUGAAGGUAGGAUAAAAAAAAUAACAGCUUAACAAACUCCCAUUUGAAAUUGGUAGGUCGACAGGGUUACCAUUAGCUGAAAGGAAAUGUGGACAAUGUGAUCUAAAUGAACUAGGAUAACUGUACAAAUGUAUAUCUAUUCGAAACUCAAACAUAAUAAAAUGUUCUCAACUCUUAAGCAGUGGUAAUAAAUGUGAAUUAUUAAGACCAUGUAAGUUUUUGGAUCAUGUUAUGAAAACUGUAAAAAAUACCCUUCAGGUUAUUGAGAAACCAGUAUCAAGUUUUAAACAUGUUUUUUAUACAGUGACAUUUGAUCAGUGUUGAAUUUUGUAUGGUGUAUUUGUGUUUUAUAAGUUUGAGUAAAUGUGACAAUAGUUUAGUCUGUAGUGUAUAAUGAUAAUUAGAAAAUAACUAACCAGUAUAUGUAUGUUUUUCUAUCAUCACUGUAUGUAAAUUAAUUUUAUCAUUCUAUGCUUCUACUUUUAUUAUCAAAUGUAUAUGUGAUAGUUAUUAUGUAUUGCAAUAGUGGACGCAACUUGACCCCGAUGGUUGAUCUUUGCAUUAUAAUACAUAAUGAGGCACAACCUAUUAUUGAAAAGGAGUGUGCGUAAAACACGAGCUGCACGAGAAAACAAGAAAAUAUAAAUUUGUGUAAAUAUAAAUUAGUGUAUUGGAAAGUUUUAAAGGAUCAAAUGUAAGUAUAUAUACUAAUAAACUUUGAUAAUGUGGCAGUUUAGUCCAAUAAGUCAAGAGGUGUUCAAAGAUAAUCCGUCAUAACAUUAUCUUGAGGAUAUAUUGCAAAGUAAUUAUUAUUACCUGUAUUUGAAAAUAAACAGUGUCGAUUGUAUUGAGGUCAACUGCCACAUUAUCAAAGUUUAUUAGUACUUUGAUACUGCACCGUAAACAAACUAAUUUCAUAUAAAUAAACACGGCUACCCUUGACUUCUAUAAUGAAAUAAUCUAUAUGAAUAAUCAACCUAAGGUCAACCAUCGCGGUCUAGUUGCGACUACUGUACAAACUUGCAUUGUUGUCAUUUGUCUGUUAUCCCUUUACUCCAUAGAUACGCUUUUUACCACCUCUAUCCAUUCCCUGAUAGAUACCCUUUUUACCACCUCUAUCCAUUCCCUGAUAGAUACUCUUUUUGACGCCUUCAAGUUUAAAAGCAAAUUAUGAAUAAAGUACAACAUCAAGGAAUCCCACAAAAGCAUUUUUGUAAAGUUUAAACCAUGUACAAAUGAUAUCUGUCAAAAAAUAUAUGGUUUAUAUUUGAUUUUUAAUGGUAAUUUAAACCUGAAAUGAGGUAGUGUAUUUGUGGAAAAUUACCGUGAGGAAAGUUUCAUCUUGAGCUAAAAUUAGCCUGAUUAAGGCUAAUUAUACCCCCAAGUUUAUCUUUACAAAUUAUGAAUUUGUGUAGUACUUAUUUGUACAAAUUGUGAAUUUGUGCAAGCUAAAAAUAGUACUGUAUUUUUUUUUUAGGUUUCCGCAUUUCCCAGGUGAUUUAGAAAGCGGAACUUUUUUUUUUCAAUGGACUUAUAUAAAAAAUAUACACUUUAUGAUAGAUUAAAAAAGUAACUGUUGCAAAUACAUAUUGGUCUGAUUUACCCUGAAGACAAAUUAACCUGCUGCACUAAGGAAUUUUAUGACAUAUGUCUGUAUAUUACCUAUCAGUGUGGGGUAUGGUUGAUUGGGGUGAUCUUUGGAUAACUGGCGUGUGCUAUGGAUAAUUGUAGGCAACUUUGAAGUUAAUCCAAUUAAGAAAUUUUACUGAUAAGUGUUUUUAUAAGCUGAUAAAAUUGCUUUUGAUCAAUUAUUCUUAUAAAAACAUUAUGUAACUAAUUAUACCUGGGGAAAACUUAACAAACCUGAGGGUGUCAAAUAUGCAAAUUAAUCAUACAAAUUACAAGACUUGGUAAAAAAAAUUAAAAAGCUGAUUAUAAUUUGCAUGGGAAAAUAAAAAUGCAGAAUUUCUUAAAAACAUAUUUAAAAAAAAAGAGAAUCAGAUAAAAAAAUAACAAUACUGUCAUAAAUACUAAUAAAAAGGAAAACAAAAAUAAGUUGGCAGUAACAAAUGUGUUUUUCUUUCUUUUUAUUACUUUUUAAAAGCCCUUGACUUGAUAAAUCCUUGAAGAAAUCCCUUUUUAGCCAGCCUUUGUCUUGAAUCUAAUAAAAUAAUUUUAUUUACACCAGAAAUAUUUUCAAAAUAAUAUUAAAUAUGUAAAAAUGCAGAAAUAAAUAAGUACCAUCAAUAGAAAAGUAACUAAAAUUAUUAUAGAAAAGUAUACUAAUGGGUUUAAAGCUUUGUAUGUCAAGAAAUAUUUAUCACACUUUUAUGUAAAAUGUACCAUUAGAAAGAAAAUUUAAUUGUGAAAAAACUUUAUGUUGGUUACUAAGUGUUUAAAACAAUAUUAAAUAUAGUAAUAUUGAAUUGAAUAACACAGGUAUAAAUUCUGCAUUUUUUUCCAAAUAUCCAGUAUGGAGAUAGUGUACUGAUUAUCAGUAAAGCUGUAUGGAUAUGAUAAGCCUAAUUAGGCUUAAUGUAUAUGGAGUAAAGGGUUAUACAAUGUAUGUCAAGUAUACUUAACAUCAUUAAACUUUAGCCAGUUGAAGUGAUUUUGCCUUUGCGACCAGUGCAGAUCAAGAUCAGCCUGCAUUUUCGUCCUUGCAGGCUAAUCAUGGUCUGCACUGUUUGCUACUCAGUCAGUCAAUUAUCAGUGCAACUCUCUGAUUUACAAGUGGUACCUCCCAAAUUUAACGAUAGACCAAUCCAUUUUAGAAAUAUAACAAGGUAAAGGUUAAAGCUAUGCAAUGAUAUUUUAAUACAGAAUGGUUGGACCAAACAUACUAAAAGUAUACAAAUAUUUGCAAAGGUUCAUUACAUAUUAGUUUGUAUGGACAUAGCACAUGUAAUGUACAUAUAUCUUGUGUAUCAUGUUUACAAUAAGUAAGUAAAAAUCUAAUGAAGUAGA